rnacentral:rRNA from 1 species
GACGAACGCUGGCGGCGUGCUUAACACAUGCAAGUCGAGCGAUGAUACUUCUUCGGAAGUUGAUUAGCGGCGGACGGGUGAGUAACACGUGGGCAACCUGCCCUAUAGAGGGGAAUAGCCUUCCGAAAGGAAGAUUAAUACCCCAUAAGAUUGUAGUUUCACAUGGAACAGCAAUUAAAGGAGUAAUCCGCUAUAGGAUGGGCCCGCGUCGCAUUAGCUAGUUGGUGAGGUAACGGCUCACCAAGGCGACGAUGCGUAGCCGACCUGAGAGGGUGAUCGGCCACAUUGGGACUGAGACACGGCCCAGACUCCUACGGGUGGCAG